rnacentral:rRNA from 1 species
CAGUCGCCACGGUAAUGCGUAGGGGGCAAGCGUUAUCCGGAAUUACUGGGUGUAAAGGGAGCGUAGACGGUUAAACAAGUCUGAAGUGAAAUGCCGGGGCUCAACCCCGGAGCUGCUUUGGGAACUGUAGAACUGGAGUGUCGGAGGGGUAAGCGGAAUUCCCAGUGUAGCGGUGAAAUGCGUAGAUACUGGGAGGAACACCGGCGGCGAAGGCGGCUUACUGGACGACAACUGACGUUGAGGCUCGAAGGCGUGGGUAGCAAACAGGAUUAGAUACCCGCGUAGUCCCUGUCUCUUAUAC